rnacentral:rRNA from 1 species
GACGAACGCUGGCGGCGUGCUUAACACAUGCAAGUCGAGCGGAAAGGCCCUUCGGGUACUCGAGCGGCGAACGGGUGAGUAACACGUGGGUAACCUGCCCUUCACUCUGGGAUAACUCCGGGAAACCGGGGCUAAUACCGGAUACGACCACUUUAGGCAUCUUCGGUGGUGGAAAGUUUUUCGGUUGGAGGAGUGGACCCGCGGCCUAUCAGCUUGUUGGUGGGGUAAGUGGCCUACCAAGGCAGUGACGGGGUAGCCGGCCUGAGAGGGCGACCGGCCACACUGGGACUGAGACACGGCCCAGACUCCUACGGGAGGCAGCAGUGGGGAAUAUUGCGCAAUGGGCGGGAAGCCUGACGCNGCGACGCCGCGUGAGGGAUGACGGCCUC